AUUGCCUACGGGAGGCAGCAGUGGGGAAUAUUGCACAAUGGGGGAAACCCUGACGCAGCAACGCCGCGUGGGUGAAGGAGCGUUUCGGCGCGUAAAGCCCUGUCAGCGGGGAAGAAGUAAGACGGUACCCGACCAAGAAGCUCCGGCUAACUACGUGCCAGCAGCCGCGGUAAUACGUAGGGGGCGAGCGUUAUCCGGAAUUACUGGGUGUAAAGGGAGCGUAGACGGCGAGGUAAGCCUGAAGUGGAAGCCCGCGGCCCAACCGCGGAACUGCUUUGGGAACUGGUUUGAUGGAGUAUGGGAGG
rnacentral:rRNA from 1 species